AGUGAACGCUGGCGGUAGGCCUAACACAUGCAAGUCGAACGGCAGCACAGUAAGAGCUUGCCCUUACGGGUGGCGAGUGGCGGACGGGUGAGGAAUACAUCGGAAUCUACUUUUUCGUGGGGGAUAACGUAGGGAAACUUACGCUAAUACCGCAUACGACCUACGGGUGAAAGCAGGGGAUCUUCGGACCUUGCGCGAUUGAAUGAGCCGAUGUCGGAUUAGCUAGUUGGCCGGGUAAAGGCCCACCAAGGCGACGAUCCGUAGCUGGUCUGAGAGGAUGAUCAGCCACACUGGAACUGAGACACGGUCCAGACUCCUACGGGAGGCAGCAGUGGGGAAUAUUGGACAAUGGGCGCAAGCCUGAUCCAGCCAUACCGCGUGGGUGAAGAAGGCCUUCGGGUUGUAAAGCCCUUUUGUUGGGAAAGAAAAGCAGCAGGUUAAUACCCCGCUGUUCUGACGGUACCCAAAGAAUAAGCACCGGCUAACUUCGUG
rnacentral:rRNA from 1 species